rnacentral:rRNA from 1 species
AAGUCGAACGAAGUAGCAAUACUUAGUGGCAGACGGGUGAGUAACAUGUAGGUAUCUGCCCUUUGGCCUGGAAUAACACGAGGAAACUUGUGCUAAUACCGGAUAAGUCUUUACGGAGAAAGCUUUAUGCACCAUUGGAUGAGCCUGCACUUGAUUAGUUUGUUGGUGGGGUAAUGGCCUACCAAGACUGUGAUCAAUAGCUGAUUUGAGAGGAUGAUCAGCCACAUUGGGACUGAGACACGGCCCAAACUCCUACGGGAGGCAGCAGUGGGGAAUCUUGCACAAUGGAGGAAACUCUGAUGCAGCGAUGCCGCGUGAGUGAAGAAGGCCUUUGGGUUGUAAAGCUCUUUCGUCGGGGAAGAAAAUGACUGUACCCGAAUAAGAAGGUCCGGCUAACUUCGUGCCAGCAGCCGCGGUAAUACGAAGGGACCUAGCGUAGUUCGGAAUUACUGGGCUUAAAGAGUUCGUAGGUGGUUGAAAAAGUUGGUGGUGAAAUCCCAGAGCUUAACUCUGGAACUGCCAUCAAAACUUUUCAGCUAGAGUAUGAUAGAGGAAAGCAGAAUUUCUAGUGUAGAGGUGAAAUUCGUAGAUAUUAGAAAGAAUACCAAUUGCGAAGGCAGCUUUCUGGAUCAUUACUGACACUGAGGAACGAAAGCAUGGGUAGCGAAGAGGAUUAGAUACCCUCGUAGUCCAUGCCGUAAACGAUGUGUGUUAGACGUUGGAAAUUUAUUUUCAGUGUCGCAGCGAAAGCGAUAAACACACCGCCUGGGGAGUACGACCGCAAGGUUAAAGCUCAAAUGAAUUGACGGGGACCCGCACAAGUAGUGGAGCAUGUGGUUUAAUUCGAAGAUACGCGCAGAACCUUACCAACACUUGACAUGUUCGUCGCGACUCUAAGAGAUUAGAGUUUUCGGUUCGGCCGGACGAAACACAGGUGCUGCAUGGCUGUCGUCAGCUCG